GUUAAGCGACUAAGCGUACACGGUGGAUGCCCUGGCAGUCAGAGGCGAUGAAGGACGUGCUAAUCUGCGAUAAGCGUCGGUGAGGUGAUAUGAACCGUUAUAACCGGCGAUUUCCGAAUGGGGAAACCCAGUGUGUUUCGACACACUAUCAUUAACUGAAUCCAUAGGUUAAUGAGGCGAACCGGGGGAACUGAAACAUCUAAGUACCCCGAGGAAAAGAAAUCAACCGAGAUUCCCCCAGUAGCGGCGAGCGAACGGGGAGGAGCCCAGAGCCUGAAUCAGUGUGUGUGUUAGUGGAAGCGUCUGGAAAGGCGCGCGAUACAGGGUGACAGCCCCGUACACAAAAAUGCACAUGCUGUGAGCUCGAUGAGUAGGGCGGGACACGUGGUAUCCUGUCUGAAUAUGGGGGGACCAUCCUCCAAGGCUAAAUACUCCUGACUGACCGAUAGUGAACCAGUACCGUGAGGGAAAGGCGAAAAGAACCCCGGCGAGGGGAGUGAAAAAGAACCUGAAACCGUGUACGUACAAGCAGUGGGAGCCUCUUAAUGGGGUGACUGCGUACCUUUUGUAUAAUGGGUCAGCGACUUAUAUUCUGUAGCAAGGUUAACCGAAUAGGGGAGCCGAAGGGAAACCGAGUCUUAACUGGGCGUUAAGUUGCAGGGUAUAGACCCGAAACCCGGUGAUCUAGCCAUGGGCAGGUUGAAGGUUGGGUAACACUAACUGGAGGACCGAACCGACUAAUGUUGAAAAAUUAGCGGAUGACUUGUGGCUGGGGGUGAAAGGCCAAUCAAACCGGGAGAUAGCUGGUUCUCCCCGAAAGCUAUUUAGGUAGCGCCUCGUGAAUUCAUCUCCGGGGGUAGAGCACUGUUUCGGCAAGGGGGUCAUCCCGACUUACCAACCCGAUGCAAACUGCGAAUACCGGAGAAUGUUAUCACGGGAGACACACGGCGGGUGCUAACGUCCGUCGUGAAGAGGGAAACAACCCAGACCGCCAGCUAAGGUCCCAAAGUCAUGGUUAAGUGGGAAACGAUGUGGGAAGGCCCAGACAGCCAGGAUGUUGGCUUAGAAGCAGCCAUCAUUUAAAGAAAGCGUAAUAGCUCACUGGUCGAGUCGGCCUGCGCGGAAGAUGUAACGGGGCUAAACCAUGCACCGAAGCUGCGGCAGCGACACUAUGUGUUGUUGGGUAGGGGAGCGUUCUGUAAGCCUGUGAAGGUGUGCUGUGAGGCAUGCUGGAGGUAUCAGAAGUGCGAAUGCUGACAUAAGUAACGAUAAAGCGGGUGAAAAGCCCGCUCGCCGGAAGACCAAGGGUUCCUGUCCAACGUUAAUCGGGGCAGGGUGAGUCGACCCCUAAGGCGAGGCCGAAAGGCGUAGUCGAUGGGAAACAGGUUAAUAUUCCUGUACUUGGUGUUACUGCGAAGGGGGGACGGAGAAGGCUAUGUUGGCCGGGCGACGGUUGUCCCGGUUUAAGCGUGUAGGCUGGUUUUCCAGGCAAAUCCGGAAAACCAAGGCUGAGGCGUGAUGACGAGGCACUACGGUGCUGAAGCGACAAAUGCCCUGCUUCCAGGAAAAGCCUCUAAGCAUCAGGUAACAUCAAAUCGUACCCCAAACCGACACAGGUGGUCAGGUAGAGAAUACCAAGGCGCUUGAGAGAACUCGGGUGAAGGAACUAGGCAAAAUGGUG
rnacentral:rRNA from 1 species